rnacentral:rRNA from 1 species
UACGUAGGGUGCAAGCGUUAAUCGGAAUUACUGGGCGUAAAGCGUGCGCAGGCGGCUUUGCAAGACAGAUGUGAAAUCCCCGGGCUCAACCUGGGAAUUGCAUUUGAGACUGCGUAGCUAGGGUGCGGAAGAGGGAAGCGGAAUUUCCGGUGUAGCGGUGAAAUGCGUAGAUAUCGGGAAGGAACACCGGUGGCGAAAGCGGCUUACCUG